GGGUAUAGCUCAGUGUAGAGCACAUGCCUAGCAUGCACGAGGUCCUGGGUUCACUCCCCAGUACCUCCA
rnacentral:tRNA from 1 species